rnacentral:rRNA from 1 species
AUACCGCAAACCUCCUACGGGGGAAAGCAGGGCUCUUUAUGACCUUGCGCUUAUAGAUGAGCCUAAGUCGGAUUAGCUAGUUGGUGGGGUAAAGGCCUACCAAGGCGACGAUCUGUAGCGGGUCUGAGAGGAUGAUCCGCCACACUGGGACUGAGACACGGCCCAGACUCCUACGGGAGGCAGCAGUGGGGAAUAUUGGACAAUGGGGGGAACCCUGAUCCAGCCAUGCCGCGUGUGUGAAGAAGGCCUUUUGGUUGUAAAGCACUUUAAGUGGGGAGGAGGCUUACCUGGUUAAUACCUGGGCUAAGUGGACGUAACCCACAGAAUAAGCACCGCAACUUG